GUAAGUGUUGCAAUUAUUUGUUUUCUCUAUGUGUUGUAGAAUGAAGUGUUUCCCGAGCCUCUGUUCACAUGGACACGUGUGGGAGGACCCCUGCUGGAUGGAAGUGAAGAGAGAUUUGGGAAAGUGCUGGUUCUGGAAAGAGUCCCAGCUGAGCUCAACGGCUCAAUGUAUCGUUGCACAGUCCAAAACCCUUUGGGAUCAACCAACACGCACACCCGCCUCAUAGUGUUCGAAAAUCCAAGGAUCAAGAAGGAGAUCAUACAUCUAAACUUUGGCAAAUCUGACGGAGCCAUUCUUGGACCCUCACUGAUGAUGUCGCUCUUAUCCUUGACCCUGGAUUUAACAUGAGCAUUAUGGGAUGCCCUUUCUUAUACUGUCCGCUCUUGUGCCAUCUAUCUCGCUGUCUAGCAGCAACAUCCAAGAAAGAGAUUGCAGGAGAGACGUGUGUUCAGAAUGAGAACAAUGAGAUCAUCCCACCCGACCAACCCCAUCAUGUGACCACGCAUCAGCUCGGUUUAUUUUACACCUGUUUUAUCACAAUAAAGGUGACAUAUUUAUGCAUUGAAUUUUUUCCACCGGGUAUUUGUGCACAGCUGUGUUGCAGAAAGGGAUUAAAAGGAUGGACCCUUGGCACUUUUGUUUUUUAUUUUUAAUAAAUUUGCAAAGCUGUC